CACGGAACUGAUUAGGAUUUCCAUGAUUCCUACCAGGCAGAACAAGAGAAGCUCCAGCAACAGAUUUCAUCAGUUAGGAGUUCUCUUUCCUCCCCGUUCAGAUUGAUCAUGAUCUCAAGGUGAAGAUCACUAAGGUCUGUGCUUAACUGAAU